rnacentral:lncRNA from 1 species
UUAGACAAAUUCUGUCCAAAAGAGCCUCUAUUGCAACGUUUUGAAAUAUUUGGAGUGACGAUUACAACAAAUUAAAAAUUUGAAAAAAAACCUGCUAAUAUUUUAAAGGUUUGGAGCCUCUUAUGCAAUUAAACCAUAACAUAACAAUCAAUAUUCUCUAUAUUCACAAUUGGAGUUGAAAGUUCAAGAAGAGAUCCCAUUAGUUCUCGGUUCGGAAAGCCAGAUUCCGGUUAAAUUGUCCACGUCUGGCAGGAUAUUAACAUCCCAGAUAUGGCCGGUGUGCCUGUAUAUAAUUUUUUAUCAAUAUAUUACAAAUUUACCGAUGAACCGAAAAAAAAAAAAGAAAAAAAAAAAGAAAAGAAAAACUUCUUCGCCAAUUCCUUCACUUGCAGAGAAUUACUUCCUCUGUUUUCCCAAGUCUAACAGUUCAUUUCAUUAUAUCUGUAAUCCAAGUAUCCAGCCACCAAUAAAAUAGCAAUUAGGCAUUUUUUAAAUUAUUAUUUUAAUACAAAAGAAUCAUAUUUGAAGCAGCAAAACUUGGAUGCUCAGAAGCCAAGCGUAACGAGUAGAUUUCACUGGAGAACCCAACACAAAGUUAGGCCUCCUCACAUGUUAGCUUCUCAUCAACGCAUCAAAUUUUUCCCACUGAAUUACUGAAAUUGCAACCCAAAAAAGAAUAAAAGAAUUCAAGUUAUAAAGAGUGCUAAUGAAUACCAGAAUUUACCCACGUGUAAUUAUUCCUUUCCAAUUCCAUUUUCCGAGAGAAAAAUAAUUAGAAAAUGAAAAUAUUGCUACUAUGAAUUUGAAGGAAAGCAAAGAGAAAUCCAACUUCCUACAAUCGUGAUAAGUAGCUCUCUCUAUAGGCACCGUGCAAAAGUCAGCUUGUCAUUGAAUUUAGAGACGAAGCCACCGUAUCUGAAAAAAAUGCCAUAUUCGAGAAGAAAAUUACAAUAGAUAAUGUGACCAGUUUAUUGUAUCAUGAAACAACCAGAAUGGGUUUCAUGGAUCUUCAAACCAGCACAAUUUAUAUAGGCUCUACGCGGCAGACGGGUUACCAUCAAAAGGGCACCUGCUGCUGACUCAUAAACAGAGCCGAUACAAAUCCAUCAAUAAUCUGAUUGCUUUUCAGAGAAAAAAGUGAAAAUCAGUGAUUAAAAACAUAAUUCUGCGAAAAACUAAUCACACUUACGAAGUAGUACAUAACCAACUUGAGAGAUGAGACUUUAAACUUUUACGGCCACUAGGGCAAAGCACAGGAUGAUAUUGUGUAGAUUGUCUAUGGGCGGAAUAUAUAUAGAGUGGCGGGGACUUGACCCCCUCAAAACCCUAAAAGAG